rnacentral:rRNA from 1 species
UACGAAGGGGGCUAGCGUUGUUCGGAUUUACUGGGCGUAAAGCGCACGUAGGCGGAUUGUUAAGUGAGGGGUGAAAUCCUGGAGCUCAACCUCCAGAACUGCCUUUCAUACUGGCAAUCUAGAGUCCGGAAGAGGUAAGUGGAACUCCUAGUGUAGAGGUGGAAUUCGUAGAUAUUAGGAAGAACACCAGUGGCGAAGGCGGCUUACUGGUCCGGUACUGACGCUGAGGUGCGAAAGCGUGGGGAGCAAACAGG